UACGUAGGGGGCGAGCGUUGUUCGGAAUUACUGGGCGUAAAGCGCGCGUAGGCGGUCUGACAAGUCAGUGGUGAAAUCCCGGGGCUUAACCCCGGAAUUGCCAUUGAAACUGUUAGGCUGGAGUCAAGUAGGGGAUAGUGGAAUUCCUAGUGUGGAGGUGAAAUUCGUAGAUAUUAGGGGGAACACCGGAGGCGAAGGCGACUAUCUGGACUUGAACUGACGCUGAGGCGCGAAAGCGGGGGGAGCAAACAGG
rnacentral:rRNA from 1 species